ACUCCUACGGGAGGCAGCAGUGGGGAAUUUUGGACAAUGGGCGAAAGCCUGAUCCAGCAAUGCCGCGUGAGUGAAGAAGGCCUUCGGGUUGUAAAGCUCUUUUGUCAGGGAAGAAACGGUGAGAGCUAAUAUCUCUUGCUAAUGACGGUACCUGAAGAAUAAGCACCGGCUAACUACGUGCCAGCAGCCGCGGUAAUACGUAGGGUGCAAGCGUUAAUCGGAAUUACUGGGCGUAAAGCGUGCGCAGGCGGUUUUGUAAGUCUGAUGUGAAAUCCCCGGGCUCAACCUGGGAAUUGCAUUGGAGACUGCAAGGCUAGAAUCUGGCAGAGGGGGGUAGAAUUCCACGUGUAGCAGUGAAAUGCGUAGAUAUGUGGAGGAACACCGAUGGCGAAGGCAGCCCCCUGGGUCAAGAUUGACGCUCAUGCACGAAAGCGUGGGGAGCAAACAGGAUUAGAUACCCCUGUAGUCC
rnacentral:rRNA from 1 species